GACGAACGCUGGCGGCGUGCUUAACACAUGCAAGUCGAACGGAAAGGCCCUGCUUUUGUGGGGUGCUCGAGUGGCGAACGGGUGAGUAACACGUGAGUAACCUGCCCUUGACUUUGGGAUAACUUCAGGAAACUGGGGCUAAUACCGGAUAGGAGCUCCUGCUGCAUGGUGGGGGUUGGAAAGUUUCGGCGGUUGGGGAUGGACUCGCGGCUUAUCAGCUUGUUGGUGGGGUAGUGGCUUACCAAGGCUUUGACGGGUAGCCGGCCUGGGAGGGUGACCGGCCGCAUUGGGACUGGGAUACGGCCCAGACUCCUACGGGAGGCAGCAGUGGGGAAUAUUGCACAAUGGGCGGAAGCCUGAUGCAGCAACGCCGCGUGCGGGAUGACGGCCUUCGGGUUGUAAACCGCUUUCGCCUGUGACGAAGCGUGAGUGACGGUAAUGGGUAAAGAAGCACCGGCUAACUACGUG
rnacentral:rRNA from 1 species